rnacentral:rRNA from 1 species
GGAUUCCCCUAGUAACUGCGAGUGAAGCGGGAAGAGCUCAAAUUUAAAAUCUGGCGGCCUCGCCGUCCGAGUUGUAAUUUAGAGAAGCGUUUUCCGCGCCGAGCCGUGUACAAGUCUCCUGGAACGGAGCGUCAUAGAGGGUGAGAAUCCCGUCUUUGACACGGAACCCCCGGGGCUCUGUGAUGCGCCCUCGAAGAGUCGAGUUGUUUGGGAAUGCAGCUCAAAAUGGGUGGUGAACUCCAUCUAAAGCUAAAUAUUGGCGAGAGACCGAUAGCGAACAAGUACCGUGAGGGAAAGAUGAAAAGCACUUUGGAAAGAGAGUGAAACAGUACGUGAAAUUGCUGAAAGGGAAACGCUUGAAGUCAGUCGCGUCCGUCGGAAUUCAGCCCUCGUGGUGUACUUUCCGGCGGACGGGCCAGCAUCACUUUUGGUCGUCGGAUAAUGGCGGGGGAAAAGUGGCACCUCCGGGUGUGUUAUAGUCCCUCGUCGAAUACGGUGGCCGGGAGUGAGGACCGCCUUUUUGCAGGAUGCUGGCGUAAUGGCUUUAAACGACCCGUCUUGAAACACGGACCAAGGAGUCUAACAUGCCCGCGAGUGUUCGGGUGGAAAACCCGUGCGCGUAAUGAAAGUGAAAGUUGGGAGGGCUGCCGCGGCCUGCACCGACGCCCGGACCUGAGGCUUGCCGACGGUUCUGCGGUAGAGCGUGUAUGUUGGGACCCGAAAGAUGGUGAACUAUGCCUGAAUAGGGUGAAGCCAGAGGAAACUCUGGUGGAGGCUCGUAGCGAUUCUGACGUGCAAAUCGAUCGUCAAAUUCGGGUAUAGGGG